rnacentral:rRNA from 1 species
CAGCAGCCACGGUAAUGCGUAGGUGGCGAGCGUUGUCCGGAUUUAUUGGGUUUAAAGGGAGUGUAGGCGGUCUGUUAAGCGUGUUGUGAAAUUUAGGUGCUCAACAUCUAACUUGCAGCGCGAACUGGCGGACUUGAGUGCACGCAACGUAUGCGGAAUUCAUGGUGUAGCGGUGAAAUGCUUAGAUAUCAUGACGAACUCCGAUUGCGAAGGCAGCGUACGGGAGUGUUACUGACGCUUAAGCUCGAAGGUGCGGGUAUCGAACAGGAUUAGAUACCCGCGUAGUCCCUGUCUCUUAUAA